AAGACGGCCCUAUGGGUUGUAAACUGCUUUUGUAUAGGGAUAAAUCAUCUUACGAGAUAGGAUGUUGAAGGUACUAUACGAAUAAGCAUCGGCUAACUCCGUGCCAGCAGCCGCGGUAAUACGGAGGAUGCGAGCGUUAUCCGGAUUCAUUGGGUUUAAAGGGUCCGUAGGCGGGCUAAUAAGUCAGUGGUGGAAUCUCACAGCUCAACUGUGAAAUUGCCAUUGAUACUGUUAGUCUUGAGUGAAUUUGAUGUUGCUGGAAUGUGUAGUGUAGCGGUGAAAUGCAUAGAUAUUACACGGAACACCGAAUGCGAAGGCAGGUAACAAAGACUUAACUGACGCUGAUGGACGAAGGCGUGGGGAGCGAACAGGAUUGGAUACCCUGGUAGUCCACGCAGUAAACGAUGCUAACUCGUUUUCGGGGUGAAGAACUUCGGAGACCAAGCGAAAGUGAUAAGUUAGCCACCUGGGGAGUACGUUCGCAAGAAUGAAACCCAAAGGAAUUGACGGGGGCCCGCACAAGCGGUGGAGCAUGUGGUUUAAUUCGAUGAUACGCGAGGAACCUUACCAAGGCUUAAAUGCAUUUUGACGUACCCUGAAAGGGGUAUUUCUUCGGACAGGAUGCAAGGUGAUGCAUGGAUGUCGUCAGCUCGUG
rnacentral:rRNA from 1 species